rnacentral:rRNA from 1 species
GAUGAACGCUGGCGGCGUGCCUAAUACAUGCAAGUCGAGCGAACAGACGAGGAGCUUGCUCCUCUGACGUUAGCGGCGGACGGGUGAGUAACACGUGGAUAACCUACCUAUAAGACUGGGAUAACUUCGGGAAACCGGAGCUAAUACCGGAUAAUAUAUUGAACCGCAUGGUUCAAUAGUGAAAGACGGUUUUGCUGUCACUUAUAGAUGGAUCCGCGCCGCAUUAGCUAGUUGGUAAGGUAACGGCUUACCAAGGCAACGAUGCGUAGCCGACCUGAGAGGGUGAUCGGCCACACGGGACCUGAGACACGGUCCAGACCCCUACGGGAGGCAGAAGUAGGGAAUCUUCCGCAAUGGGCGAAAGCCUGACGGAGCAACGCCGCGUGAGUGAUGAAGGUCUUCGGAUCGUAAAACUCUGUUAUUAGGGAAGAACAAAUGUGUAAGUAACUAUGCACGUCUUGACGGUACCUAAGCAGAAAGCCACGGCUAACUACGG